rnacentral:rRNA from 1 species
UACAGAGGUCCCAAGCGUUGUUCGGAUUCACUGGGCGUAAAGGGUGCGCAGGUGGUCGGGUAAGUCUGAUGUGAAAUCCCGCAGCUUAACUGCGGAAUGGCAUUGGAUACUAUUCGACUAGAGGGUUGGAGGGGGGACUGGAAUUCUCGGUGUAGCAGUGAAAUGCGUAGAUAUCGAGAGGAACACCAGUGGCGAAGGCGAGUCCCUGGACAACUCCUGACGCUGAGGCACGAAAGCUAGGGGAGCAAACAGG